rnacentral:rRNA from 1 species
GGGCGAAGCCUGACGCAGCGACGCCGCGUGCGGGAUGAAGGCCUUCGGGUUGUAAACCGCUUUCAGCAGGGACGAAGCGAAAGUGACGGUACCUGCAGAAGAAGCGCCGGCUAACUACGUGCCAGCAGCCGCGGUAACACGUAGGGCGCAAGCGUUGUCCGGAAUUAUUGGGCGUAAAGAGCUCGUAGGUGGUCCGCUACGUCUGCUGUGAAAAUCCAGGGCUUAACCCUGGACUUGCAGUGGAUACGGGCGAACUAGAGGUAGGUAGGGGAGAAUGGAAUUCCCGGUGUAGCGGUGAAAUGCGCAGAUAUCGGGAGGAACACCGGUGGCGAAGGCGGUUCUCUGGGCCUUACCUGACACUGAGGAGCGAAAGCGUGGGGAGCGAACAGGAUUAGAUACCCUGGUAGUCCACGCCGUAAACGUUGGGCGCUAGGUGUGGGGUCCUUCCACGGAUUCCGUGCCGCAGCUAACGCAUUAAGCGCCCCGCCUGGGGAGUACGGCCGCAAGGCUAAAACUCAAAGAAAUUGACGGA